GUACUCUUGUUUCUGCUCCUCCUCCUAGUCACUGCCCCGCCCGAAGAUGCCACCGUGCUCACCUGCCGUGACUUCCCUGACGGGUUUAUCUUCGGCGCAGGCACCUCGGCCUACGAGGUGGAAGUGGCGGCUACAGAAGAUGGAAGGAAACCUAGCAUCUGGGACACCUUCACUCAUCAAGGUUAUUCUGCCGACAAGUGUACCGAGGAUGUUGCAGCGGAUCAGUAUCAUCAUUACAAAGAUGAUGUGAAGUUUAUGCAGGACCUGGGUCUAGAUGCGUACAGAUUCUCCAUCUCAUGGCCGUGGCUUAUCCCAGAUGGAAGAGGAGAAAUGAAUCUGAAGGGCUUGGAGUACUACAACAACUUGAUAGAUGAACUGAUACAACAUGGCAUACAACCUCAUGUCACCAUCUACCAUUUCGAUCUCCCUCAGUCCCUUCAGGAUGAGUACAACGGGCUGCUCAGCCCCAGAUUCAUAGACGAUUAUACCAUGUACGUGGACACCUGCUUCAAAAGCUUUGGGGACAGGGUGAAGCACUGGGUCACCAUUAACAAGCCCAAUGUCGAAACUCUAGGUGGCUUUGACAGCGGCACUUGGCCACCGCAGUGUUGUUCUCAUCCUUUCGGCAGAAACUGUACCGGAGGGAACUCCAUGACGGAGCCGUAUAUAGCUGCUCACCACCUCCUCCUAGCACAUGCGUCGACGGUGUCCCUGUAUAGAAACAAGUACCAAGCAAGUCAAAAGGGGCAUAUAGGAAUUACUAUCUUGACCGGGUGGUAUGCUCUUGCUACCAAUGCAUCCCAGGAUGUUGUUGCUGCAAUAAGGAUGAAUGACUUUCACAUUGGAUGGUUCAUGCAUCCUUUGGUGUAUCGGGACUACCCACCGGUAAUGAAAAUAAGGGUUGGUGCACGGUUGCCGAAUGUGACGGUGGAGCAGUCGAAGAAACUCUCCAGGUCAUUCGACUUCAUCGGCUUGAACCACUAUGCUAUUUUUCCCAUGGUGGCCGACGGGACCGCCUUCAAUCUGAAGCAGAGGGACUACUUCGCCGACAGAGGAGUUGCAAAUCCAACGAAAUACAUCCUAGAGGGCCAGAAUGAGUAUGCUCCUUGGGCUCUAGGGGAGCAGUUGGAGCACGUAAAACUCAAGUAUGGAAACCCUGCAAUCAUUAUCCAUGAAAGUGGAUAG
rnacentral:rRNA from 1 species